AAAACUUACCAGGUCAAGACAUGGGCGUGAUUGACAGGCUAAUGACUUUUCUCGAUUCCAUGGAUGGUGGUGCAUGGUCGCACUUAGUUGGUGCAGUGAUUUGUCAGGUUUAUUCCGGUAACGAACGAGACCUCGGCCUUGUAAAUAGCUAUGCUGCUUACAGGGACAUUGGCGGCUACGCCAAGGAAGCUCGAGGCAAUUGCAGAUCUGGAAUGCCCUUAGAUGUCCUGGGUCGCACGCGUGCUACAAUGACGCCACGAACGAGCUUGCGUGAUGAAAGUUACGCAUAAUCAGCAGUCGGCGUCUUAAGGGAUAGUCUCUUGUAACUGUGGGACUCCAACUAGGAAUGUCUCGUAAGCACAAGUCAACAUCUUGUGUUGAUUACGUCCCUGCUCUUUGUACACACCGCCCGUCGCUCCUACCGAUCGAGUGUUUAGGUGAAUUUGAUGGACGUAAGGAAGUCAAAUAAACCUGAGCACUAGAGAAGAGAAGUCGAUAUC
rnacentral:rRNA from 1 species